AUUGAACGCUGGCGGCAUGCCUUACACAUGCAAGUCGAACGGCAGCACGGGUGCUUGCACCUGGUGGCGAGUGGCGAACGGAUGAGUAAUACAUCGGAACAUGUCCUGUAGUGGGGGAUAGCCCGGCGAAAGCCGGAUUAAUACCGCAUACGAUCCACGGAUGAAAGCGGGGGACCUUCGGGCCUCGCGCUAUAGGGUUGGCCGAUGGCUGAUUAGCUAGUUGGUGGGGUAAAGGCCUACCAAGGCGACGAUCAGUAGCUGGUCUGAGAGGACGACCAGCCACACUGGGACUGAGACACGGCCCAGACUCCUACGGGAGGCAGCAGUGUGGAAUUUUGGACAAUGGGCGAAAGCCUGAUCCAGCAAUGCCGCGUGUGUGAAGAAGGCCUUCGGGUUGUAAAGCACUUUUGUCCGGAAAGAAAUCCUUGACUCUAAUACAGUCGGGGGAUGACGGUACCGGAAGAAUAAGCACCGGCUAACUACGUG
rnacentral:rRNA from 1 species